rnacentral:rRNA from 1 species
UACGUAGGGUGCAAGCGUUAAUCGGAAUUACUGGGCGUAAAGCGUGCGCAGGCGGUUUUGUAAGACAGAUGUGAAAUCCCCGGGCUCAACCUGGGAACUGCGUUUGUGACUGCAAGACUUGAGUGCGGCAGAGGGGGGGUAGAAUUCCACGUGUAGCAGUGAAAUGCGUAGAGAUGUGGAGGAAUACCGAUGGCGAAGGCAGCCCCCUGGGUCGACACUGACGCUCAUGCACGAAAGCGUGGGGAGCAAACAGG